UACAUGACUCUCGGCAACGGAUAUCUCGGCUCUCGCAUCGAUGAAGAACGUAGCAAAAUGCGAUACCUGGUGUGAAUUGCAGAAUCCCGUGAACCAUCGAGUUUUUGAACGCAAGUUGCGCCCGAGGCCUUUUGGUUGAGGGCACGUCUGCCUGGGCGUCACGC
rnacentral:rRNA from 1 species